rnacentral:rRNA from 1 species
CUGAGAAGAAUUGAUGGGGCCCGCACAAGCAACGGAGCAUGUGGUUUAAUUCGAAGCAACGCGAAGAACCUUACCAGGGCUUGACAUCCAUCGAAUCCUGUGGAAACACGGGAGUGCCCUUUUAGGGAGCGAUGAGACAGGUGGUGCAUGGUUGUCGUCAGCUCGUGUCGUGAGAUGUUGGGUUAAGUCCCGCAACGAGCGCAACCCCUAUCGUUAGUUGCCAGCAUUAGGUUGGGCACUCUAACGAGACUGCCAGGGUAACCUGGAGGAAGGUGGGGAUGACGUCAAAUCAUCAUGCCCCUUAUGCUCUGGGCUACACACGUGCUACAAUGGCCACUACAGAGAGAAGCGAGGCAGCGAUGCGGAGCAAAUCUUUUAAAAGUGGUCCCAGUUCGGAUUGCAGGCUGCAACUCGUCUGCAUGAAGCUGGAGUUGCUAGUAAUCGCGAAUCAGAAUGUCGCGGUGAAUGCGUUCCCGGGCCUUGUACACACCGCCCGUCACACCAUGAGAGCCGGCAACACCCGAAGCCAGUGGGCUAACCUGAAAAGGAGGCAGCUGUCGAAGGUGGGGCUGGUGAUUGGGGUGAAGUCGUAACAAGGUAACCCA